UCUUCUUUUCAUUUUCAUUUGCAGAGAGAGAAAGUUGAUUGGUCUGCUACAUACCAUGCCUCCCAACUUCAUCCCUACCUCAGUUCAAACUUUAAAACCACCUUCUUCACCCUUAUCUGCUUUUUUCAUCUUCACAUAUUGCGGAAAAAACAACAGAGAAUGAGAGAGAGGCGAGAGUGAGAAGUGGGUGACUUGGAGUUCCAGCAAGGUAUGGUGGUUCUGCAACUCGGAAAGGAGAACGGGUGCUUCGAGGUCUUGUAGGACAAGCGGCAGUAGGAAAGAAGGAGCCGCCACCAUGGCUUUGGCCGCGACGAAGGCUAGGGUUUCCAUAUGAGAUCUUCGGCGAUUCAAAUCAGUUUUUGGAAGCUAUGAUUGUGUUUGUAGAAGGUUGUAUGGGGGCAACGAGUUUGAAUGGAACAAAAAUUAGCAGGGUGUGACUGCCGAUUUCCUUUCAGAUUCUUCCCUAUUGAUGUUUAUUCGCUGCAAUAGGAAGGCCGAAGGUUUCUCUUGCGGCGGCGGCCACCGGCACACCUUUUAGGGUUCAGGAGCGAAUGGCGACUCGUUGCAUGUUUUGGCUGCCGAAGAAGAAGAGAUUCUGUGCAAUUCCGCUGCUCUCUAAUUCCGACUUCUGCGGUAAUCACUCCAAAAGAUCCGAUGACGUCUGGAUUCUAUGCUUAAUCGAUCCAUCUCAUUUUGUCCUUGUUUAAAAUGCAUCAAGCAUCAUAAUGAAUGAUGCAGCUGGUGUGCGAUUCCAAGCUGGACGCCAAGCAGAGGUUCGCUUAUGUUAAUAGGAGGAUAAGAAGUUAAAUGCAACAUAUAUAAUUAGUGUUGCAAGAAAGCCUGGAUGCUCAAUCUUUUUUAUUGCCUGAGGACAUUCUUGAGGUUAACCCGAAGAUGAUUCUGAUCCUAACAGCAAGCAUAUCAUGUACUAGAGCUUGUUACAGAAGUCUAAAGGUGAUGAAGAAGAUGGGAACACGCCUGAAUAAGAGGGCAACGCGCCAGAACAAGAUGGGAACGCGCCUGAAGAAGAAGGCAGUGCACCUGAAGAAGAAGGCAACGUAGCCAUCCAUCGAUGAAGGAGACAUCUUAGCGAGAUGCAAGAAAAGACCACUGAAAGUGAAAACACUAAUGAAGGGUGGUGAGAUUAUGCUAGAACACGUUUAGUCUAUGACGCUAAGUCAGCGAAGAAGGGUGGCGAGAGGCAGUUCAACGGUUUAAUCAACGUUUACAAGAAGACAUACACAUCAGACGACA